rnacentral:rRNA from 1 species
CGAUUCUGGCUCAGAUUGAACGCUGGCGGCGUGCUUAACACAUGCAAGUCGCGCGUGAAAGGACUUCGGUCCGAGUAAAGCGGCGCACGGGUGAGUAACGCGUGGAUGAUCUACCCAUGAGUUGGGAAUAACGGCUGGAAACGGUCGCUAAUACCGAAUACGCUCCGAUUUCAUCUUCGGGGGAAAGGUGGCCUCUGCUUGCAAGCUACUGCUCAUGGAUGAGUCCGCGUCCCAUUAGCUAGUUGGUGGGGUAACGGCCCACCAAGGCGACGAUGGGUAGCCGGUCUGAGAGGAUGACCGGCCACACUGGGACUGGAACACGGCCCAGACUCCUACGGGAGGCAGCAGUGGGGAAUAUUGCGCAAUGGGCGAAAGCCUGACGCAGCGACGCCGCGUGAGGGGAAUGAAGGUCCUCGGAUCGUAAACCUCUGUCAGGAGGGAAGAACCGCCACGGUGCUAAUCAGCCGUGGUCUGACGGUACCUCCAAAGGAAGCACCGGCUAACUCCGUGCCAGCAGCAGC